rnacentral:rRNA from 1 species
UACGUAGGGUGCAAGCGUUGUCCGGAAUUAUUGGGCGUAAAGAGCUCGUAGGCGGUUUGUCGCGUCGAAUGUGAAAUCCCGGGGCUCAACCCCGGGUCUGCAUUCGAUACGGGCAGACUAGAGUUCGGUAGGGGAGUCUGGAAUUCCUGGUGUAGCGGUGAAAUGCGCAGAUAUCAGGAGGAACACCGGUGGCGAAGGCGGUUCUCUGGGCAUUACCUGACGCUGAGGAGCGAAAGUGUGGGGAGCGAACAGG